GAACUUCUUGAAGCUCCCAUGGGAACUAAUUAUGUGAUUAUCAUCGUCUACCAAUGAGGUUGGACUGCUAUCACAGAGUUUAUUUUCAAUGGGAGCUUCAAGAAGUUCUGGAGAGGAAGAAAGAACCAUAUCUAUACCUGUCUUGUGUUCCAGACUACUAUCAUCUUGCUUCACACUGCUUUCCUCACUUUUAUUUGUCUCAAGUUUAUCAUCCUCCAAAUUAGAGAAAAGUGAAACUUCCAGCUGAGUAGUCAAUGGUUCCAUCUGUUGUUU
rnacentral:misc_RNA from 1 species